CCUCCUGCUAGUCUGUGAUGUCAUCCAUCUGUUCAUCUACCUUGCCAGUGUCCAGGUCCUGGGAGGCCUUCUUUAUGCCUCGGGCAGCUAACUACAAGGAUCACACACCUGUGGAUUCAAAUGUUUCCUGUACACUAACAAUGUCCCAGCUUUGUGGACCUGGAAAAGAUCUUGGCCUAAGCAAGAUGAGGGCACAUAUUAUGCUUUGCCAAGGGUAUUAUAGGGGUGGCCAGAAGCAACUUUAAAUCUAUAUGACUAAUUGUUGAAUCAUCAAUCCCUCUUUAGUGCUUUUGCACUGAAGAUAGGAAGUAUAUCAGCUUUAUGGAUGAGGAUUUUCAUACCAAACUCAGAAGAAAAUAUUUUUUAUGUUGGAUUUGGAAUUGGUAAAUAUUGAGUAACAGACAAACCAAUAGACAAUUGUUCUAUAGUUUAAUUGAACAAAAAAUAUUUCUUGCCUCACAUAGUUGAUGCUUACUGCUUAGAUUUGCAUAAUUAUAUCACUUCUUCCACAGUCCUUUCAACACUUGAGUUUAUUUUUAGCAGACAGGUUUCUAAUCUCAAACACCACCCAGGGAGAAUAAGAAAAAGUGGUUACUACUAUGGGGAUAAUAUCUCUUUGCAUUCCUGACUUUUCUUAUAAACUGGAACCAUCUUAAUGUUUCAUUGUUGUAAAAGAAAGGUAAUGUUUGCAUAUAAAAGUACCUAGAGUUCUUUUAGCUGUCACUUAGGAAGACUUAAACAUUUUAUACAGCAUGAUUUUAGAUAACUUUUGACCUUUUUAGAUUUUAUUUUGUUUUAUUUUAAAUUUGUUCCAAAUGCCAGGAACCAUCAAGGUACUUGCUUGUCUUAAAGAAAAAGGUCACCCCAAAGAAGAAAGUUAGUCCUGGGGUGAGUGACAGUGUUUCUCUGUUUUCUAAUACAGGAUGUUGAGUACUAAUUGUAGAGUGCCUGAAAUGAUAGCUUAUUCUCUUCACUGAUCCCAGAUUCACAAGAAGGUUUCAGGAAUUUGCAGCUAUUUCCAAUGCAAAUCUGGUGAAAUGUGACAAUUAUCCAAAUCCAACUGUCGUGGUAAAUGUAAGUCAGUGUCUUAAAGUGCACAUCUCUUUGUGAAAGCCAGUUCUAUAUUCUCCAAACAGAGUCUGUAUUUAUUUGAAAGUGAUUUAUCACUGUCCCAGGUUAUCAAUACCGAGGUAC
rnacentral:lncRNA from 10 species